rnacentral:tRNA from 1 species
GGGCGGUUAGCUGUUUGGUAGAGCAUCCCCUUGAUGCGGGGAGGGUCAGAGGUUCGAGUCCUCUAUCGCGCA